UUGAUCAAAUUGAAGCCCAAAUCAAGAGCCAAAUCACUGCAUGAACACAAAUUCGUGAUCACCUAAUCAUGGGGAUUACAAGUUUGACGCGUCACAAGCUAGGUGGAAGCUUGGAGUGAAAGCGGGUCAAACAAGGCAAGCAUGGAAGAAAGGCGUAGCUCGGAUGCAAGGUAAGUGAAACUUACAUAAUUGUGUAGAUUACUUGUUCAUUCUAUACGUUAUAGAUGCAAUAAUGCUAAUAUUGAAAAUAUGGAUUCCGACGUGAUUGAUACGAGUCGGAACAUAUAAAGAUGAUUAAAAACCAUGUUUAUGGCAAAAAGGGGAUUUGGUAAUGAAAUCCGGGACGGGAUGGAUGUAUGAAUUAGAAGUCAAAAACCAUGUUUUUGAUUUAAUAGGCAACGUUGGGCAUAUAGGCCGAACGGGUCAAAUGGUGGUGAUAACACUAUUUGACAAUAUCGACUAAUGCGAUUGUCAAGUCUUGUGUUAACAGGAGCGAUUAGCGAUUCAGUUAAUUUCGCCCACGCUAAGUGUGAUGGUAAAAGCAAGGUAUAAAUUGGGUCUAUAUGUUGACCCUAGCCAGGUACGUAUGCAUACGAUUAUAGUUAACAUACAAACUUGGUCAAAUAAGUAAUGAAAGCCCCUCGUAGUAAAUGAGGGGCUAAUGUCGACUAAAAUGCCCUUGAAGGGUAAAUUGAGCAAACAACUUAUAAAGGUUGUUUAGGAACUUAUCUUACGAUCUUGUAACCUUUAGACGCGCAUGAAAGUUGUAGACAUAAACUUUCAAGAGUUAAAUGCUUAAAUUGUGUGUUGCCGCAAAAAUAACACAUCCGUAGAAUUAAACUCGAAAUAAAUAGUCCAUUUCGUUAAAUCCACCACAUUCAUAGUUGUGGUGGAAGACUAGCUAAUAACAAAUUGGUGGAACUAUGAGGUACAUGAGAAAUGAGCACCGUCCGUGCUAAAAUGGUCGUAAAUACCCUUAACGGGUCAAAAUAAGAUUUUAAACGAAAACGGGUAAAUAAUUGUGUAGAAACCCGUGUUCAGUACUUAAUAUGAUUGACAAUAUUAGAAUUUAAGGGUUCAUGAUGAAUGGUGGUCAAACAAACAUGUUUGUUUGAUAAUCACAUAGUCGGGUCGAAAAUUGUUGAAAAGAUAAUAAGCCGAAGGCUUAAAAGUCUCAAUUUUAUUUAAUCCGGAUGUCAGAUCUUAACUCCAUAUAAUGGAGAAUUAAAUUACAAACAUGUGGGAAGAAACGGUAGGUCAAACGGAUAAGCGGUUUGAAAGAUACGAAAGAUUUCGUGUCAAUUUACGGCAAAAUGGAAAGGUGGGAUGCAGGUGCCACCGUAAAUUACGGUGCCACCGUAAUUUACGGUGGACCUGAAAUGGUUUACGGUGAAACACUCCUGAAUUACGAUGGAAACAAAUCAAAACAAGGACUACCGUAAAUUACGGUGUCCACCGUAAUUUACGGUGGACCCUGUACAAAAUGUAUUUUGAUCAGUUUUGUUUCCCGGACUUGUUUAGAUACGUUUUAAAUCCCGUAUGACUAAAGCAUUUCAUGUUUUUAUGAAAUGUAGGUACUUGUGGAAGCCGGAAGACGAUCAAGCUCAACGAAGAACCGAACACGAUACAGUUACAUGCUUCCGCACUUCGCCACGUUGUAAAUUUUAAACAACGAACUUCGAUCACGUUAUGUAGAAUAAUUUAUAAUUUGUAAAAGUUUUAAAUAAACCCGCAUU
rnacentral:lncRNA from 1 species